GAUGAGCGCUGGCGGCGUGCCUAAUACAUGCGAGUCGAGCGAACAGACGAGGAGCUUGCUCCUCUGACGUUAGCGGCGGACGGGUGAGUAACACGUGGAUAACCUACCUAUAAGACUGGGAUAACUUCGGGAAACCGGAGCUAAUACCGGAUAAUAUAUUGAACCGCAUGGUUCAAUAGUGAAAGACGGUUUUGCUGUCACUUAUAGAUGGAUCCGCGCCGCAUUAGCUAGUUGGUAAGGUAACGGCUUACCAAGGCAACGAUGCGUAGCCGACCUGAGAGGGUGAUCGGCCACACUGGAACUGAGACACGGUUCAGACUCCUACGGGAGGCAGCAGUAGGGAAUCUUCCGCAAUGGGCGAAAGCUUGACGGAGCAACGCCGCGUGAGUGAUGAAGGUCUUCGGAUCGUAAAACUCUGUUAUUAGGGAAGAACAAAUGUGUAAGUAACUAUGCACGUCUUGACGGUACCUAAUCAGAAAGCCACGGCUAACUACGU
rnacentral:rRNA from 1 species